CCCUCUCUGCGGGGGGGGGGGGAGUUGGGAAUCUUCCACAAUGGACGCAAGUCUGAUGGAGCAACGCCGCGUGAGUGAAGAAGGUUUUCGGAUCGUAAAGCUCUGUUGUUGGUGAAGAAGGAUAGAGGCAGUAACUGGUCUUUAUUUGACGGUAAUCAACCAGAAAGUCACGGCUAACUACGUGCCAGCAGCCGCGGUAAUACGUAGGUGGCAAGCGUUGUCCGGAUUUAUUGGGCGUAAAGCGAGCGCAGGCGGAAUGAUAAGUCUGAUGUGAAAGCCCACGGCUCAACCGUGGAACUGCAUCGGAAACUGUCAUUCUUGAGUGCAGAAGAGGAGAGUGGAAUUCCAUGUGUAGCGGUGGAAUGCGUAGAUAUAUGGAAGAACACCAGUGGCGAAGGCGGCUCUCUGGUCUGCAACUGACGCUGAGGCUCGAAAGCAUGGGUAGCGAACAGGAUUAGAUACCCUGGUAGUCCAUGCCGUAAACGAUGAGCGCUAGGUGUUGGGGACUUUCCGGUCCUCAGUGCCGCAGCAAACGCAUUAAGCGCUCCGCCUGGAGACACCA
rnacentral:rRNA from 1 species